UUUCUAUAGUUGAAUGCAACGAUGGUUUUUCAGAUCAUAGGUCCUAGUUAAAGUCUAGGUAGAAUCA
rnacentral:tRNA from 1 species